AGCCAUUUCCUGCCUCUGAUUUAAGGAGAAAAGCAUAUUAUUGAAACUUGAGGAUUAAACAUACUACAACAACGUAAGAGAAAUGAGAAAGAAACGUGUAUGUUACUCUACUUCUAACAUGUCAUAACCUUAAACCAAACAUAUAGUCAGGCUUGGAAAGCUAAGGUCUGUCCACAAUACGACAAGACUAUUUGACAUCAUAAUAAAACACUGCAAUUAUGAUGCUGAGUGAUGAAGAGUAGAAAUGGGAAGACUUGGUUGUGCAGAAACUGAGUUCUUGAAAAUAGGAGAUGUUUGAUGAGGGUGAGUGGAUUACAGCUCGGUUUAAUAUCCGAUGGAAACCAAAA
rnacentral:lncRNA from 1 species